UCUCUUCUUAGUGUUUUGUUCGAUUGUGUAGUAGUCGAAUUCAAUUGCAAAACGGAUCUAUCUGUUGUUUUUUUUCAUCCGGUAGAUCAGUUUCAUUAUUAAUCCCAUUGAUGUUUGGUGUACAAAGCUUGUCUGCAAUGCCAUCACACUUACCAUGAUACUUCAUCAUGUCCUGUAUCUUUAACAUAACUGGCACUUUGUAAUCACUUGGUUUUGCGCCUUAAUUGGUUUGCGUUAUGUUGAACUAGUGUAGGAUGUGGGUUAGCUCGAUUGCAUGGACCUGCUGCGCGAAGCUCGUGUUGGUUUGAUGGUUCAAGAUGCAGCAACCAAAAACAGAAGUGCUACUUCAAUUCUUUGAGGUCUUGAUAUCAGCUUAAAUAAUACACAUGGUUUGAGGUCUACCGUAAGGCUUGCCAACAAAUUGAUCUAAGGACAUCCAAGGCAUAGAACAAUGCAUGGAGACCAAAGCACCUCUGGUUUGCUUCAAUGACAAUCAUGUCAGCAAAAUCAACACUUGUUUUUCGCCACUGCAUGCACGAUGUUACCAGCAAUGCCUUUAGCUUCAAACAGACUGUGUAGAGGUAUGCCAAAUGGAGUGGCCCAUAUGUUUGCAAGUUGUAAUUUUGCAAAUUUGUCGGCGGUGUUGGGAGGACAGCCAGGCCAAGAGCCUAAACUCUACCAAGCGGCACUUUGUAUCGAACUCGGUUUAGCUUAAGAGAAUUUUUGUUGCCAUGCCUUACUUUCUUCCAUUAUUGGUUGUAUGAAGUAUUUGUAGGAUAAAGCUUUGAAGCUAUUAAGAUUUGUACGGUUCUGAAUUAUCCCUCUAUGAUGAAUGUAUCCUAAAGUUCCUUG